GUGUAAUAAGGCCUUUAAAUGUUUUCAUGACAGACUUGAAUUGAUUUCCUCCUCUCUUCCGAAAGGUAUGUUCACUACAGCUUCUUCAAUGAAAGGCUCAAUGGAGAUAUCCCAGUUGAUGAGGACCAGAGGAACACCAGUCUGAGUAAGUCCAUAUUCAGGAGCAGAGAACAGAACAUCAUCUCUCCAGAAAGGUGUGUAUCAGUAUAUUCAGGAGCAGAGAACAGAACAUCAUCUCUCCAGAAAGGUGUGUAUCAGUAUA